AUUUCUCUCAAUCAUGAUGCAGAUAGCGAAUCACCUUAAGCUCACUCAAGAAUUAGAGAUAAGAGAUGGCAACAUGCAAGAUCUUGUGGGGAGUUUGACCAAGAAGCUUCCGGCUGCUCUUUUGACUAUCUAGGCUAAAGAUGAUGCAGCAAGUGUUCUUUUCCUGUAUGAAUUGCUCUUUUGGCAAAGUUGCAAUGCUAUAAAGAAGAAUUUUACUUAUUAUAUUGUCGUAUUUACCUUUUGCCUCAACAAGUGUGACCAGCACCACGCGGCGUACAAAAGAUGAAAAAGAUGAGGAAAUAUCUGAAAUU